rnacentral:rRNA from 1 species
UCAUGGCUCAGGACGAACGCUGGCGGCGGGCCUAACACAUGCAAGUCGAACGCACUCGACCUUCGGGUCACAUGAGUGAGUGGCGAACGGGUGAGUAACACGUGAGGAACCUGCCCCGAAGACUGGAAUAACCCGGGGAAACUCGGGCUAAUACCGGAUGCCCCCAUCGGAUCGCAUGGUCCGGUGAGGAAAUGCUCCGGCGCUUCGGGAGGGUCUCACGGCCUAUCAGCUAGUUGGUGAGGUAACGGCUCACCAAGGCAACGACGGGUAGCUGGUCUGAGAGGACGAUCAGCCACACUGGGACUGAGACACGGCCCAGACUCCUACGGGAGGCAGCAGUGGGGAAUCUUGCGCAAUGGGCGAAAGCCUGACGCAGCCACGCCGCGUGAGGGAUGAAGGCUCUCGGGUUGUAAACCUCUUUCAGCAGGGACGAAAAUGACGGUACCUGCAGAAGAAGCUCCGGCCAACUACGUGCCAGCAGCCGCGGUAACACGUAGGGAGCGAGCGUUGUCCGGAUUUAUUGGGCGUAAAGAGCUCGUAGGCGGUUCGGUAAGUUAGGUGUGAAAGCUCGAGGCUCAACCUCGAGAAGCCACCUAAUACUGCUGUGACUUGAGUCCGGUAGAGGAGUGUGGAAUUCCUGGUGUAGCGGUGAAAUGCGCAGAUAUCAGGAGGAACACCUACAGCGAAGGCAGCACUCUGGGCCGGUACUGACGCUGAGGAGCGAAAAGCGUGGGGAGCGAACAGGAUUAGAUACCCUGGUAGUCCACGCCGUAAACGUUGGGCACUAGGUGUGGGGUCGAAUUAACCGAUUCCGUGCCGUAGCUAACGCAUWARAGUGCCCCGCCUGGGGAGUACGGCCGCAGGCU